UCCACCCCCAUCGUUCAGUCCAGAUGCUGAGCUCCAGCUCCGAGGGUCUUCUGGCAAUUCCCUCACUGUGAGAACUAAGGUUACAGGAAAACAGGCAGAGGGCCUUCUCGGUAGUGGCGCCCGCCCUGUGGAACACCCUCCCGUCAGGUGUCAAAGAGAUAAGUAACUACAGCGGUACCUUGGUUCCUGAACGGCUUAGUUGUUGAACAAAUCAGCUCCCAGACGCCGCAAACCCAGAAGUUCUGGUUUGCGAACGUUUUUCAGAAGCCGACCGUCCAACACUGCUUCUGCUUGAGUGCCGGAAGCUCCUGCAGCCAAUCAGAAGCUGCACCUUGGUUUUCGAACGGUUUUGGGAGUUGAAUGGACUCCCAGAACGGAUUACGUUUGAGAACCAAGGCACCACUGUAUACAACUUUUAGAAGACAUCUGAAGGUAGCCUUGUAUAGAGAAGUUUUCAAGGUUUUGGUAUUUUAUUAUGUUUCUGUAUAUGCUGGAAGCCACCCAGAGUCAGUCAGAUCAGUGGGGUCGUAUUAUUAUUAUUAUUAUUAUUAUUAUUAUUAUUAUUAUUAUUUAGGACAAGGGCCAUGGUGGUUUCCACAGCAGCUGGAAGGAAGCAUCCGACUCAGAUCUUUUCCAUGCUCAGAGAGGGAGACUUCCCCUGUCCCCUGGGAUGGGACCUUAGGAUUGUAAGACCCAAGCAGUGACGUUUCUGUUAGUGUGUUUGACGGUUGGCAAUGUGAUCUUGAAGCUUUUAGGAACGUAGAGCGGGCAAAAGAAAUCAUAGAGGCAAUUUUGUACAGAUUAAACUCUCCAGUAGGAAUAAGCCGAUAAACAAAAGUAGCUGUGGUAACCCGGCAUCACCUCAACCGAUAUUUUAAGUAAUAUUCAUUUUGGAAUGCCCUAAAGGUAAGGCUAAACAUUUUAAGUCUCAAUGGCUUACUUUGUUAAUGUGUUUUAUUGCUUUCCGUUGUGAAGAGUUGUUUUCUAAUUAUUAGAAAAGUAUUAAAUGGGCCACCCUCGUCAGGAAUAUUAAGGCUAUGUUUUAUUCAUGAGCAAACCGGCUUCAUUAACGGCUGAUAUUGUGCUGUGCUCACUAAUUCGGCUAUCUCCAUAUGCACCAAAUCCAGCAACCUCCAGUCACUGCUGUUUUCUGUGAAAAUGUUUUCCACUAAAAAAGUCUGAAAAGAAUUGUGGCAUUUGACAUUUUUGUUGAUUUGAGAAUUCACGCUCCAUCCAGAAUGAAGUUGAGCACUGGGAUCAUCAUGAAAAUGUACUCUCUGCGACAUUACUGCCCAAACUUGCUCUCCAAGAUCAAGCUGUGCAAAAACAGAAAGCUUACAGUGGAAACUGGCAUGCUACAGCACUAACUGGCUGGUGCCUGUGCCGUCAUGAACUCACCUCCCAUUCCCAGGUGCAAUUUUUAAAAUUGUUUCAGAAACAAGGCAACUU